GACGAACGCUGGCGGCGUGCUUAACACAUGCAAGUCGAACGGUAAGGCCCUUCGGGGUACACGAGUGGCGAACGGGUGAGUAACACGUGGGUGAUCUGCCCUGCACUUCGGGAUAAGCCUGGGAAACUGGGUCUAAUACCGGAUCGGACCACUGCCUGCAUGGGUGGUGGCGGGAAGCUUUGGCGGUGUGGGAUGGGCCCGCGGCCUAUCAGCUAGGUGGUGGGGUGAUGGCCUACCAAGGCGACGACGGGUAGCCGGCCUGAGAGGGUGACCGGCCACACUGGGACUGAGAUACGGCCCAGACUCCUACGGGAGGCAGCAGUGGGGAAUAUUGCACAAUGGGCGCAAGCCUGAUGCAGCGACGCCGCGUGAGGGAUGACGGCCUUCGGGUUGUAAACCUCUUUCAGCACCGGCGAAGCGCAAGUGACGGUAGGUGCAGAGGAAGGACCGGCCAACUACGUGCCAGCCGCCGCCGUAA
rnacentral:rRNA from 1 species